rnacentral:rRNA from 1 species
AGAGUUUGAUCAUGGCUCAGAUUGAACGCUGGCGGCAUGCUUUACACAUGCAAGUCGAACGGUAACAGGCCGCAAGGUGCUGGCGAGUGGCGAACGGGUGAGUAAUGCAUCGGAACGUGCCCAGUCGUGGGGGAUAACGCAGCGAAAGCUGCGCUAAUACCGCAUACGAUCUAUGGAUGAAAGCGGGGGACCGUAAGGCCUCGCGCGAUUGGAGCGGCCGAUGUCAGAUUAGGUAGUUGGUGGGGUAAAGGCUCACCAAGCCAACGAUCUGUAGCUGGUCUGAGAGGACGACCAGCCACACUGGGACUGAGACACGGCCCAGACUCCUACGGGAGGCAGCAGUGGGGAAUUUUGGACAAUGGGCGCAAGCCUGAUCCAGCAAUGCCGCGUGCAGGAAGAAGGCCUUCGGGUUGUAAACUGCUUUUGUACGGAACGAAAAGGCUCUGGUUAAUACCUGGGGCACAUGACGGUACCGUAAGAAUAAGCACCGGCUAACUACGUGCCAGCAGCCGCGGUAAUACGUAGGGUGCAAGCGUUAAUCGGAAUUACUGGGCGUAAAGCGUGCGCAGGCGGUUUUGUAAGACAGGCGUGAAAUCCCCGGGCUUAACCUGGGAAUUGCGUUUGUGACUGCAAGGCUGGAGUGCGGCAGAGGGGGAUGGAAUUCCGCGUGUAGCAGUGAAAUGCGUAGAUAUGCGGAGGA